rnacentral:rRNA from 1 species
GACGAACGCUGGCGGCGUGCUUAACGCAUGCAAGUCGAACGAGGUCCAUCCAGCUUGCUGGUGAAGACCUAGUGGCGAACGGGUGAGUAACACGUGAGGAACCCCACCCCGGAGACCGGGAUAACCCUCCGAAAGGAGAGCUAAUACCGGAUGUCCUCAUCGGAUCGCAUGUUCUGAUGAGGAAAUGGAUUCCGCUCCGGGACGGCCUCGCGGCCUAUCAGCUUGUUGGNGGGGUAACGGCCCACCAAGGCGUCGACGGGUAGCUGGUCUGAGAGGACGGUCAGCCACACUGGGACUGAGACACGGCCCAGACUCCUACGGGAGGCAGCAGCGGGGAAUAUUGCGCAAUGGGCGAAAGCCUGACGCAGCAACGCCGCGUGGA